AGAGUUUGAUUCUGGCUCAGGACGAACGCUGGCGGCGUGCUUAACACAUGCAAGUCGAGCGAUGAAGUUUCUUCGGAAAUGGAUUAGCGGCGAACGGGUGAGGAACACGUGAAGAAUCUGCCCUCCACUUUGGGAUAACACAGGGAAACCUGUGCUAAUACCGAAUAUUGAAACAUAAGUGGCAUCACUGAGUUUUGAAAGAAUUUCGGUGGAGGAUGACUUCGCGGCCUAUCAGCUAGUUGGUGAGGUAAUGGCUCACCAAGGCAACGACGGGUAGCCGGCCUGAGAGGGCGACCGGCCACACUGGGACUGAGACACGGCCCAGACUCCUACGGGAGGCAGCAGUGGGGAAUAUUGGGCAAUGGAGGAAACUCUGACCCAGCGACGCCGCGUGCGGGAUGAAGGCCUUCGGGUUGUAAACCGCUUUCAGUAGGGAAGAAGCGAAAGUGACGGUACCUACAAAAGAAGCACCGGCUAACUAUGUGCCAGCAGCCGCGGUAAUACAUAGGGUGCAAGCGUUGUCCGGAAUUAUUGGGCGUAAAGAGCUCGUAGGUUGUUUGUUACGUCGGAUGUGAAAACCUGAGGCUCAACCUCAGGCCUGCAUUCGAUACGGGCAAACUAGAGUUUGGUAGGGGAGACUGGAAUUCCUGGUGUAGCGGUGAAAUGCGCAGAUAUCAGGAGGAACACCAAUGGCGAAGGCAGGUCUCUGGGCCAAUACUGACACUGAGGAGCGAAAGUCUGGGGAGCGAACAGGAUUAGAUACCCUGGUAGUCCAGACCGUAAACGGUGGGCACUAGUUGUGGGGACCUUCCACGGUCUCUGCGACGCAGCUAACGCAUUAAGUGCCCCGCCUGGGGAGUACGAUCGCAAGAU
rnacentral:rRNA from 1 species